AGAGAUCAGAGGACCUCUGGAUCCUCUGAUCAUAGGAUCAGAGGAGGAUAUUUGAGUUUAUCUGAAAUCUAGAGUUUGCAGAGUGGCUAUGGGAGAAAUAUACUAGGGGACUAGUAUAUUGAAAGCUCCAGAAAGAGAGUAGUUAAAAGAUUGUAUUGUUCAGCCAUAAAAAGGAAUGAAAUUGAGUCAGAGGAAGUGAUGUGGAUGAACCUAGAGCCUGUCAUACUGUGUGAAGAUCCUUUUUCAGAAGAAAAUCACUACAGAGACAUAUGAAAAGUUUGAAGAGACAGCAGAGUGAGGAAACCCAGAGGGUAAGUGAGAAACAAAGAAAGGAAAAUAGGGGAGAAACCUCUGCCAAGGCAGCAAGUUGGAGGCAACUGGCUCAGUAAUAACUUUUCUCCGUCUCGUGUUCUUUUCCUUCCUAUCCAUAGGGGAAUAUCUUUUCUGAGCUUGUUCCUUCUGUCUUGAAUAAAGAUGUUCUCUGCUAGCUCAGUACCUGGGUCAUCAGAACAGACACUUGUCUGAUGAAACAGGGCUCUCCUGCUUGGAUAGAUUACAUUAACUACAAACAUAUGCUACCUGUGAAGCAUAGACUUCCUAGAUAUAGCCUAGAGCAUCUUUCUUUUGAACAUUUUUACUUUGCAUUCAACCUGGGUUCUGAUUCUAUGUCAAAAUAUUCCUUGUAAUUACCUUAUUAUGGAAACUAGAAAAAGCAUUCUUAAUUUAGUACCACAUGUGUCCUUUCUCUUGCUUCUUAUUUUCUGGUAUUUUCAAUGUUUGACUCCAUGGGUGAAUCAAAUGCACAGGAAAUUUCAUGCCCAGUUUCCUCCCCAUUCAUGGCUGAAUCAGAAACUAUUCAUUUUGUUAUGGAGACAGAUAGGAAAUGCUGGAAACAUUUUCAGUUCCUUUCAUGAUUUACCUUUGUUUCUAAGAAAUUUCUAACCAUCGACUUCUAAAUUUGUGGUUCUUCUAGCAGUUAUUUUUGUCCAUGUGGAAACUGGAGAGGAGUUGAAAUUUAGUAAAUUUCAUCAUAUGAAAUUAUUUGUCAUAAGGGCCCGAAUUGGAAUCUUUCAGAAUUUAAGGUUGUUGGUGGUGGUGGGAGCAGGGGGAUGGUGAGGCAAAGGAGGCCAAAGUAACUGUAAAAAUAUUAGGGUAUAGUUGCUUUCCAAUGCUGUGUUAGUUUCUGCUGUACAACAAAGUGAAUCAGCUAUAGGAAUACAUACAUAUACCCCCUCUUUCUCUGCUGCUGCUGCUGCUAAGUCACUUCAGUCGUGUCCAACUCUGUGCGAC
ensembl:lncRNA